AUGUCUUCAGCGAGAGGGAAUGAAAUACAAAGGCACGUUAGAAUAAUUUCAAAUGAUCGUUUCACUAGCUCAGUUAAACUACUUCCAUCCAAAUUCUAAAUCAGAGAAUGAUUGCUUAUCAUGCAUCUCAUUAAGUGAUUCUCCACAUGAAUUCCUCCCCAUUGUAAUGCACUGACUGGAGCACGAUAAGCACAACUAAAGGAAACAAAGUUUUAAGUCCAUUAAUCACAUCCUAAUGGUUCUUCUGCGUGGGUCUGAGCUGAAUAAAGAUUGCUGCCUCUGGAAUCAGCUCUGGAAAAAUCCAGCUAUUGCACAGUGGGUAAACAGUCAGCAGGUAGAAUUUUUCAGAACUUCAAGCAAAAUAAAACUGAAAGGGGUUUUGAGGUUUUCAUUUAGGUUAUGAACCCAAGUGGGUAAAGGGUUCUCAUGGGUUUGUUCAUCUGCUUUAAUUAUCAAGGGAUGGAAAAUCCUCUCUCCUUCCACUGACUUGUAGCUGCAGCUUCAUGCACAGAACUGAGCCCCUUUUGCUUUUCCACUAUUAAAGCCUGAAGAAUUCCCUCUCACUUGACAAAGCCACAACGUGCCUUCCAACUUUCCAUCCAGAAACUGCACUUAAACCCUGAUGGCCGAGUGACAAAUCCACUGCUCCAUUCCCUGCGAAACGGAGGCGAAAGGAGCUGAGAGAUUAAAGCCAGUGUGCAAUGGAUAAUGGGAUCCCAGGAAUUCUCGUCCUGCAGGUGCCAGAGGUGUCCCGGUGCUGUCGAACCCCACAAGAGGGCAGAGCGACCCCAGCAUGGACGGGCUCUGCCUGAGCCCAGCCCUGCAAAACUUUCCCGAUGCGAUCCCAAAGGAGUGACAUCUGCUACAAACUGGGAAGUUGAGCAGAAAAUCAGGAAGGCUCUUCUGGAACCUGCUGCUCCACGCCUGCAGUGCCUGCAAGACGCCCACCGAGCCAACUGAAGGGGAACUACGGAUGGCAGACGUUGCUCAGAGCCAAAUCCUGAAGUGUGGAGCCAAAAUCCAAACUAAUUCUCAACUACAGAGGGUAACCUUGAUGUCAGUGGAGCUGCUGCAUUACAAACAAGAAUUACCUUCCUGGUGACUACUCAGACAAGACCUUUCUCAGGCUGGUGACAACUGGCACUGAGUAAAAACCAAGGAAAGACUUGGAGCCCUUCAGACCUUGCCCCAAUUCCUUACACGAGUAAAACCAUCCCUGAGUUUGACAGAGCAGUGAGUAGAAAUAAAGGAAUAAUGACAUUCAAAAGCAAAGACCACUGCAUCUUUUCUAUCUGCAGGGAGUAACAAUCUCUAAUUUUAGACCUCUGCAUGUGGUGCUCAAGUUAACAAAUAAAAUACUUCAUGAAAUUUCCAGAAUUUCAAUCAAAGAACAUACACAGAAACCUGCCCUUCUCCACAAACUGCUGUUAAAUACUUCUGAAAAUACUUCCCACCUUGUUGGUAGUCAAUCAAUGACAACAUUAAAAUUACUUAGAAAAGAGUGAAUAAUUCAUUGGAUUCUUUUUUUC